AUACUUACCUGGCGUACAGAUAUCGUGAUCAUGCAGGCGGUUCCCCCAGGGUGAGGCUGCUCCAUUGCACUGCGGAGUGGUUGACCCUUGCGAUUGUUCUUAUUUUUUAUAAGUGAAAACUUCUACCAUGUGUGACUUGCACACACACGCACAUUUUUUCC